rnacentral:rRNA from 1 species
UACGGAGGGUGCAAGCGUUAAUCGGAAUUACUGGGCGUAAAGCGCACGUAGGCUGUAGUGUAAGUCAGGGGUGAAAUCCCACGGCUCAACCGUGGAACUGCCUUUGAUACUGCACAACUUGAAUCCGGGAGAGGGUGGCGGAAUUCCAGGUGUAGGAGUGAAAUCCGUAGAUAUCUGGAGGAACAUCAGUGGCGAAGGCGGCCACCUGGACCGGUAUUGACGCUGAGGUGCGAAAGCGUGGGGAGCAAACAGGAUUAGAAACCCGGGUAGUCC